GACGAACGCUGGCGGCGUGCUUAACACAUGCAAGUCGAACGGAAAGGCCCUGCUUGUGUGGGGUGCUCGAGUGGCGAACGGGUGAGUAACACGUAAGUAACCUGCCCUUCACUUUGGGAGGACUUCAGGAAACUGGGGCUAAUACCGGAUAGGAGCUCCUGCUGCAUGGUGGGGGUUGGAAAGUUUCGGCGGUUGGGGAUGGACUCGCGGCUGAUCAGCUUGUUGGUUGGGUAGUGGCUUACCAAGGCUGUGACGGGUAGCCGGCCUGAGAGGGUGACCGGCCACAAUGCGACUGCGAUACGGACCAGACUCCUACGGGAGGCAGCAGUGGGGAAUAUUGCACAGUGGGCGGAAGCCUGAUGCAGAAACGCCGCGGGCGGGAUGACGGCCUGCGGGUAGUAAACCGCAUCAGCCUGUGACGAAGCGUGAGUGACGGUAAUGGGUAAAGAAGCACCGGCUAACUACGUG
rnacentral:rRNA from 1 species